UGCUAUGCCUUGUCCAUUCCAAUCUGGACAGUCUCUGUGCCCCUCCUUUCCACUCAAGUGUUAUCCAGCACUCAAGUUCUGGCUCAAGGCCCAACAUCUCCGUGGGGACCUCAGCCAUCCCAGGGCAUUGUGACCCCUUCCUCUAAGUCCCCGGCACACUCGCUGAUUGGUACCCUCUCAUUCGACAAAGCAUAUGCCAUUGUGGCUUACUUGUCAUUUCUUUAGGUCUUGCCUUCCCAAGUAGAUCAUGAGCCACUAUAAGAACUAGCUCCCAUAGUCCCAGCCCCUGGGCCUGGUACAUGGCAAUGCUUAGUGAUUGGUGAUUGAGGAUAAUGGUGGUAAAGGAUGUACCAGACAGUCAUCUCCUGAAGAGAUGCCGAACAACCUGUCCUUGUUUUAUGUAUUUUCUCUUUCUUUCCUGUCCAGUUUUAUUCCUCUCAUAGUAACUGCUAAAAAAAUAUCAGUUCCUGUCACUCUUCCACCCCUUUUCUCCCUCUCCCCUGCAUUGUGGUCUGGGCCUUGGUCCACUAGCAACUCCCCUUAGGUGUUGCUUAAUCUGCCUCAUGGCCAAAGCCAAUCCCAUUCCUGUCCCCCGCUACCCAAGGGACUCCCAGUCUGUAUGCACAAGGCGGGAUGUGAAGUCUGGAUGUGCAAGAAACCCAGCUGUAAGAAACAGCUUCCCUCGGCUUGGCAUGGUGGCUCAUGCCUAUAUUCCCAGCACUUUGAGAGGUCAAAGUGGGAGAAUCACUUGAGCCCAGGAGUUCAGGACUAGCCUGGGCAACAUAGCAAGAUCCCACCUCUACAAAAAAAGAAAAAAUUCAGAGUCUCAAAUGUCCCUUCAUCUCCUUACUCUCGACCUGUCUCCCUAGUUCUCUGCCGCCUUUUCCUCUCCCCUGGAUCUGACACUCAAUUGUCUGCAUGCACUUUUCAACUGAAAGAGACUCCAAUGCCAUCCUUCUGAUGAAAUUUUUGCUUUGGAUACUACUGCAGAAAAAAUGCUAUCUUGUAUUCUGGUCCAUGGUGGGGAAGACCCUGUCGUAGAACCUGGCAACUCAAGUGGAGGGAGGGGCCAGAACAUUGUUCUUAUGCUAUUUACAGUGAGACAACAGGAUUGAUGCAGAACUUUCUUUUUUUUUUUUUUUUUUUGAGACAGAGUUUCAUUCUUGUUGCCCAGGGCUGGAGUGCAGUGGCAUGAUCUCAGCUCACUGCAACCUCCACCCCCCAGGUUCAAGCAGUUCUUCCUCAGCCUCCGGAGUAGCUGGGAUUACAGGCGUGCGCCACCACGCCCCACUAAUUUUUGUAUUUUUGGUAGAGACGGGGUUUCACCAGUGUUGGCCAGGCUGGUCUCGAACUCCUGACCUCAGGUGAUCCACCCACCUCGGCCUCCCAAAGUGCUGGGAUUACAGGCAUGAACCACCGUGCCCGGCCGUGAUGCGCAACUUUCUAAUAACAUACUUUUGAAAGUGCCCAGACAUACAUCCCUCCUCUGGUACCACAGUGGCCAUCAGUUGCCAGAGAACAUGAAAUUAUCCAGCCCUCAGCUCUGCAGCAGGAUUCUGAGGAGUAAAGCAGGCCUGUAAAGUACUCUAAAGUACUUCAGAGAGGUAAUGCCACAAAGCGAAGAACACCUCUUGGAGGCAGAGCCCCUCAGCCCUAUCCAGGCCAGCAGUGUCCACUUGAAAUCUGAAAGCAGCCUCCCUCACCAAACCAGCAAGAUGGAAAACCUCCCUGGGUUGGCAAGUGGCCCUGGGAAGUACAUGCCCCAUCUCUGUCAGGAUAGCAGUGGAGAGGUUUCGUGCCAGUGCCAGCUCCACCCACCCAGAUGGUACUCAAGACUCCAAGCCUGUCAAUGGGGUGGAAACUUUCUGGCAUUUUCUGUCAGAAGGGUGAGUUAGCACUGAACCAUCUCAUGUGUCUUUUCACUGAGUAACAGCCCAUAUCCAUUCCAUGAAAUGAGUGACUGCUUUGUUGAAUCAGAUAGUAACAAACAUUUAUUUGUAGUCUGGUUGUGUCAUAUCAUGGUUGAAUUGCAAACAGGUUGGAUAGAAGAGUCAGCAAAAAUCAACAAAAGCAUUCUGUAAAAAACUUUUCUAGAAUUACAAUAAAUGGCAUUGUAUAUU
rnacentral:lncRNA from 1 species